UCAGAGGCGGGGUAACCCUGUGACCCGUGCCUGGCGGCGCUUGAGGGAGAGAGUGCGUGGCCUUCGAGACCGCCUCUUUCCUGGUGCUGCCUCCCCUGCCCAGUAAGGGGCCUGGUGGUAGCUAGCACAGCUUAAUUAAAGGGCUCGGCUGACUUUUCAUUGAUUAAAUAAUAAUAUAUUAAUCUUAUCAAUUAAUUGUUACUUUUUAUAUUCAUGCUAUUUUUAUUGCUCAAUAUCUGAGAAUUGUGAUUACUUCACACCAAAGGUUAAAGCUGAAAGAUCAAAUUAGAUUUGAUCUGUUCUUAGUAUCAGCUUUUCAACAGACAUCUGAAAUUUUUUCUUGACUUUUUACCAUCAAAGCAAUUUAUGUACUGCACAAAGAUAAUGUCAUGGCUAUUGGCUGUUAUGCACUCCCAUGUUUUUACAUUUUUUAUGAGUCUACCAUAUCGUUCCGAACCAUCUUGUGGUCACUAUGGCAUCUUGAGGGCCACACCCAGAGCACCUGUGCACCCUGUUCACCUAGGGUAUCAGCUGCGCAGGUGUUCCUGAUGGGUGGGGGUUGAGGCGGGAAAGGGUUUCCGUGACACCAUGUUUUCAUGGGCCCCCAUGAUUCCGAGUUGGGUGUGGCCCCUCUAGUAUUGACUUAUCACCCCUUGCACAGCCUCAUGAAUGAAACAUCCCACAUAAACUGGCUUGCCGUGAGUGUAUAACAGUCAAGUCAUUAUCUGUAAGAAGGAAACGAAAAAUAUUGAAUAUUUUUAAUCAUAGCUAGUGUCAUAAUGUACAAAGAACUGUAAAUAGAAAAGGAGACAGAAAAUAAUGUACUUGCAGUCGAACUACAGAAUUGCGUGAAAAUCAUUAAUAUUUAAUGAAUAAAAAGACUGCAAAACCUA